UGAUAUCUUAUCGUGUGUUUUUCUAUGUUUUGAUUUUAUGCUAUUGUUUCAGAAAAAGGGAGAAGGUUUGGUACCAUUAAAACGUUUAAUCCCGCUGCAAUUGUUUGCACAUGUCCUAAGUCAGGAAUCUGAUGUACAGUAGUUGUCGUUUGUUUAUGUAACUUAUACGUGUUUCUCGUUUCUCGUUUUUUAUAUAGAUUGGACCGUUGGUU
rnacentral:lncRNA from 1 species